AAUUUUAACACUAGUCGAGAACAGUUCUAAAAAUUUAUAUUACAUUUUUUUCAGACAAAUUUUAGCCUCGAGAAACGAAUUUUUUCGCUUUUAAACGUAAAAUGUCUAAGUGGAAUCAAUUCAGCACAUUGGUGCAGUCCGUACGUGUCCUGGCCCUCCGGGAUAUCGUGAAGUUGGCUGUGAACAAUAUGACCAGAUAUACCGGUUCUGUUGGUGGGGUUAUAGUCAAGGAUACGGAAAAUGUGCAAGCCAUAGCAAACGGGAAGCUAUCUCCAGAUGCGGAACUUAAGGCCGAGCUUCAAGAGAAUCGCAACAUACAGGUACUGUGCUCAAAUAAUAAAAACGCCGGGAGAGGCGGUUCCUGAUGCGAGAUAGCUGUGUACACGGGAGCCGCAUAUUGUAACGUUUAAUUUGAUUUAAUUUGUUUCACUACCUACUAUAAAAGCAAAAAAAAUUAUUUUGACGGGAAGGAGGUUUUAUAACCAACUACGAGGCUUACUUAAUAUACAUAUGCAUAUCUGUGGGCAUAUAUUGACGUGCUUAACGUAUUCUAAAUUAUAUUGUUAUUAUGAAUUCGUGCAGAGCAAAAUGUAACGCCACGGAAUAACAGUAAAUCGUUUUUACAUUUAAA